AAAAAANAUCAGCUACUACUUCACUUACACAUGCAAGUCUCCGCAUCCCCGUGAGAACGCCCCUAACCCUUCCCAGGACAAGGAGCCGGUAUCAGGCGCAGAUUCCUAGCCCAUAACACCUAGCAACGCCACACCCUCAAGGGCAUUCAGCAGUGAUAAACAUUGAAAAUAAGCGCCAGCUUGAUUCAGUCAGAGUCGACAGAGCCGGCCAACCCGGUGCCAGCCGCCGCGGCUAAACCGUCGGACCCAAGUUGAUAUUCUCCCGGCGUUAAGCGUGUUUAAAGUUAACAUUAAUUAGAGUCAAACCUAAGCUUAGUUGUGAUACACUUGCUUCCUAGAAGAACAUAAACGAAAGUUACUCUAACCAAAUCACUUGAAUCCACGACAGCUAAAAAACAAACUGGGAUUAGGUACCCCACUAUGCUUAGCCGUAAAACAUCUACUUACACCCUCACCCCGCCCGAGUAUUACGAGCACAAGCUUAAAACUCAAAGGACUUGACGGUGUCCCACCCACCUAGAGGAGCCUGUUCUAUAAUCGAUACUCCCCGCUAAACCUAACCACUCCUUGCCUCUCAGCCUGUAUACCUCCGUCGUAAGCUUACCCUAUGAACGAUCAUUAGUGAGCAGUAAGGUUAUUACACCCACACGUCAGGUCAAGGUGCAGCUCACGAAGUGGUAAGAAAUGGGCUACAAUUUCUACAAUUAGAACACACGAAAGACCCCAUGAAAUUAAGUCAUGAAGGCGGAUUUAGUAGUAAAAAGGAAAUAGAGUGUCCUUUUUAAUCCGGCACUGGGACGCGUACACACCGCCCGUCACCCUCUUCAACACUAUCACCUAGUUCCUAACACAAUAACCCGUACCAAAGAAGAGGUAAGUCGUAACAUGGUAAGCAUACUGGAAAGUGUGCUUGGAUUAAUCAAAAUAUAGCUUAACUAAAGCAUUUCGCUUACACCGAAAAGAUAUUUACUAAACCAAAUUAUUUUGAGCCUAAAAUCUAGCCUACACACCCCCCAUGCCCGAACUUCAUAACCCACUACACAUAAAACAUUUUCCCACUCCAGUAAAGGCGAUUAAAAACUUAAUAAGAGCUAUAGAGCAAGUACCGCAAGGGAAAAAUGAAAUAGUAAUGAAAUAAACUUAAAGCACCUAAAAGCAGAGAUAAUCUCUCGUACCUUUUGCAUCAUGGUCUAGCUAGUCCAAUCAAGCAAAAUCCCUUAUAGUUUGAACCCCCGAAACUAAGCGAGCUACUUCAAAACAGCCUCCCGGGGCCAACCCGUCUCUAUUGCAAAAGAGUGGGAAGAUUUUCAAGUAGAGGUGACAAGCCUACCGAGCUUAGAGAUAGCUGGUUAUUCAAGAAAAGAACCUAAGUUCUGCCUUAAGCUUUAACUAACCUUAAAUACCCCAAUAAACUUAAGAGUUAUUCAAAUAGGGUUCAGCCUAUUUGAUUCAGGACACAACCAAAACCAAAGGGUAAUGUAGAAAUUCCCUAUGACCAAGUGGGCCUAAAAGCAGCCACCUUUUAAAAAGCGUUACAGCUUCACCAUAAAUAACUAACUAAUUCCAUAACCCCUACAAACCCCUUCCCCCGUAUUGAAUAAUUUUAUAUUUUUCCAUAAAAGAUAUUAUGCUAGAACUAGUAAUAAGAAACAGAAUUUCUCUUAAAUGUAAGUAUACCCCAGAAAGAACCAAUCUCUGACUCUUACUGCAAUGACACACUAAGUAGUAACUUCCACUAGAAAACCCUACUUAUAUUAACAUUAACCUUACACAAGAACAUUACAAAAAAGAUUUAAAUAGGGGGAAGGAACUCGGCAAAUCUUAGUCUCGCCUGUUUACCAAAAACAUCGCCUCUUGAUUAAUCAUAAGAGGUCCAGCCUGCCCGGUGAUUAAAUUUAACGGCCGCGGUACCCUAACCGUGCGAAGGUAGCACAAUCACUUGUUCUCUAAAUAGGGACUAGUAUGAACGGCACCACGAAGACUAUACUGUCUCCCCCCUAUGAUCAAUGAAACUGAUCUCCCCGUGAAGAAGCGGGGAUAAACUUAUAAGACGAGAAGACCCCAUGGAGCUUAAAACUCAGUAUCACUUACUCUCCACUACCUCAUAAUAACCCAGUAUGCAUGACUACUAGUUUUUGGUUGGGGUGACCGCGGAGUAAAACUCAACCUCCACAAUGAACGGAACUAAAUUCCUAAUUCUAGACUCACACCUCAAAAAAUUAAAAUAUUAACAUAACUUGACCCAAGCUAUUGAUCAACGAACCAAGUUACCCUGGGGAUAACAGCGCAAUCCAUUUUAAGAGCCCCUAUCGACAAAUGGGUUUACGACCUCGAUGUUGGAUCAGGGUAUCCUAGUGGUGCAGCCGCUACUAAAGGUUCGUUGUCAACGAUAAAAUGU
rnacentral:misc_RNA from 1 species